GUAAAUUGUAAUUUUGCACUUUAAUUAUGUCAACAUGUCAUUCUGAGUCAGUUUGGCAAGUAUUUUAUUGAGCUAUUGUGAUAACACAUAUUUUUUCAUUGAAAACUGUUCAAUUACUCAAAAAAGUAAAAAAUUGAACUUCGCACAGUGAAUUCUGAAAUGUUUUUCAACUGAACUAUCUCUGCAAUUAUGGGCGUGUCUAAUUUAAAAUAAGGCUGCGUCAUCACGUUUAUCUGACUGUUGGAGACUGGGCAAUGGGUGCAGGCAGGCAGGCAGAGAGAGAGACACUAUUUUCGCCUCUUCGCAUAUUUUGGAGUUUUUCGUCGUCAUUUGCUAUUAAGCUUCUUGUGACAGGUCUUUCUGGAACAGUGAAGCUGGACAGGCUACUGAAGAUGAAGGGGUUUUCUGCAAAGGGAUGAAAGUUGGUCUGGUGAUGGUGAAAGAUGGAGAAGAGAUCGUUGACGUGUCUGUGGUCUUGGAGGAAGCGGUGGUCCUGACUGAUCUUAAGGACAUCACAAGUGCUGUUGCCAUGCUCAUGGGUCUGCUCUACUGUCUGAACAUGGACUACCCUAAAAAUCACAAAUACGCCUUUGAGGUGAUUCAGAAGGUGUUCAUGAACAUUGGCGGAGGGCAGUGUUCAUCCCUUGUUCAUGGCCUGAGAAACAGACUUUUGCGGAAGACAAUGUAAAACCUCAGUUGAGUUCGGAUCUUCAUUGUGGACUGUGGCUGAUUCAGUUUUUCUAGUUUUUCAGCAUUGAAUUAGAUUAAGAUUGUUAAAUGGCUCAUUACAAAUAUUCAAAUACAAGGAUAGUGAUAGUGGUAAACAAUAUGUUGUAGUGUUACUAUAGAUUUAGAUUUUAAAAAAACAUUGCUUAUAAAUAUUUGAGCCAUUUUGAUAGGCUUGGUUGAACUUGACCUGUAGGCUGCUAUGGCCUGUUUGAGGUCCUUCUUUCUGAAGAAUGUUUUUUUACUUCAGACUAAAUUGUCCUAAGCUUCAAAGUGGUUUAUUCUAUGCAUGGCAAAUAAUUAAUAAAAGUUACUCAUUUAAAAAAAUCA